UAGCAAUACGAGCGGCAGACGGGUGAGUAACGCGUGGGAAUCUACCAACCCUACGGAAUAACGCAUGGAAACGUGUGCUAAUACCGUAUACGCCCUUCGGGGGAAAGAUUUAUCGGGGAUGGAUGAGCCCGCGUUGGAUUAGCUAGUUGGUGGGGUAAAGGCCUACCAAGGCGACGAUCCAUAGCUGGUCUGAGAGGAUGAUCAGCCACAUUGGGACUGAGACACGGCCCAAACUCCUACGGGAGGCAGCAGUGGGGAAUAUUGGACAAUGGGCGCAAGCCUGAUCCAGCCAUGCCGCGUGAGUGAUGAAGGCCCUAGGGUUGUAAAGCUCUUUCACCGGUGAAGAUAAUGACGGUAACCGGAGAAGAAGCCCCGGCUAACUUCGUA
rnacentral:rRNA from 1 species